CCUACGGGCGGCAGCAGUGAGGAAUAUUGGUCAAUGGACGAGAGUCUGAACCAGCCAAGUAGCGUGAAGGAUGACUGCCCUAUGGGUUGUAAACUUCUUUUAUAUGGGAAUAAAACGUUCCACGUGUGGGAUUUUGUAUGUACCAUAUGAAUAAGGAUCGGCUAACUCCGUGCCAGCAGCCGCGGUAAUACGGAGGAUCCGAGCGUUAUCCGGAUUUAUUGGGUUUAAAGGGAGCGUAGGUGGAUUGUUAAGUCAGUUGUGAAAGUUUGCGGCUCAACCGUAAAAUUGCAGUUGAAACUGGCAGUCUUGAGUACAGUAGAGGUAGGCGGAAUGCGUGGUGUAGCGGUGAAAUGCUUAGAUAUCACGAAGAACUCCGAUUGCGAAGGCAGUUCACUGGACUGCAACUGACACUGAGGCUCGAAAGUGUGGGUAUCAAACAGGAUUAGAUACCCUUGUAGUC
rnacentral:rRNA from 1 species